UACGUAGGGUGCAAGCGUUGUCCGGAAUUAUUGGGCGUAAAGAGCUCGUAGGCGGUCUGUCGCGUCUGCUGUGAAAACUCGGGGCUUAACCCCGGGCCUGCAGUGGGUACGGGCAGACUAGAGUGCGGUAGGGGAGACUGGAAUUCCUGGUGUAGCGGUGAAAUGCGCAGAUAUGAGGAGGAACACCGGUGGCGAAGGCGGGUCUCUGGGCCGUAACUGACGCUGAGGAGCGAAAGCGUGGGGAGCGAACAGG
rnacentral:rRNA from 1 species